rnacentral:rRNA from 1 species
CCUACGGGGGGCUGCAGUGAGGAAUAUUGGUCAAUGGACGAGAGUCUGAACCAGCCAAGUAGCGUGAAGGAUGACUGCCCUAUGGGUUGUAAACUUCUUUUAUCAAGGAAUAAAACGAGGCACGUGUGCCUUUUUGCAUGUACUUUAUGAAUAAGGAUCGGCUAACUCCGUGCCAGCAGCCGCGGUAAUACGGAGGAUCCGAGCAUGAUCCGGAUUUAUUGGGUGUAAAGGGAGCGUAGAGGGGUUGUUAAGUCCGUUGGGAAAGUUUGCGGCUCAACCGUAAAAUUGCAAUUGAUACUGGCAGUCUUGAGUACAGUUGAGGUAGGCGGAAUUCGUGGUGUAGCGGUGAAAUGCUUAGAUAUCACGAAGAACCCCGAUUGCGAAGGCAGCUUACUAAACUGCGACUGACAUUGAUGCUCGAAAGUGUGGGUAUCAAACAGGAUUAGAUACCCGUGUAGUC